AGCAGUUAUCUUCAGGAUUUUCCCACCACAAUGAUGCAACAGAUUUUGUUCUUAAAGGUUUCUCUUCCUUAAUUGAUUCUGAUGAGUCAGCAAAUGGUUCAGACCUGUUGAGUCGUGUUAACCGGACUCCAUCCGUCGCCUCCUUAGAAAACUUGGAUGAUGCAGUUCAUAAUUCAAGCUUGUUCUCUGUGGAAGGUUCAAGAAGCAAACCUCUACAACUGCCGCGGCAAUCCCCCAG
rnacentral:misc_RNA from 1 species